GAAGCUUAUAGGUUUAACAGGAUCCUGCUAAGUUUAUUGUUUUGCGGUUCAAGUCCGUAGAAGUUUCG
rnacentral:tRNA from 1 species